AGAGAGGAUGAGGUUAGCUCACAGAGCUCUUCUGACCUCAGAAACAGAACAAGGGUUUCCGGCACCAGAGAAAAGAGUUCAGCAAAAGACCAGCAGAGCAACCUCCAGAGAGAAAAGACGUCGGGGUGAAUUGCACAGCUGAGAGAAGAAGUUACAGAGAAAAGGAGGCACAGAACAGAUUUCAGACGUACUGUAGUCACAUUUAGGGACAGAACGGAGUGUGAAAGGUGCAGGAAUUGUUUUUCGUUGAACCUAACCGAUGGCGUCAAACAAACCACCAGCACUUCCUGUCAAACAACACAGACAUUCCAGUGUAGAUUCUGAUGACCGUGUAUUCAGCCCAGUUGCAGUCCAGCAUCAAAACUAUUCAUAUGUUGAUGUCUUCUCUGAGCCUGUUGACUGCCAUGCAGCCCAGUGUCCCUUACACCAGCCCUGUGAUCCUUCCCCUCACCACUCAAGGUUUUUCUCUGAUGGCGCCCCUCCACCUGUUCCAAAGAAGAGGUUGGCUCGCACCCUGUCCCGCCCUGCCACAGAUGUGUCUAUGCUCUCCUCUGUGUCCCCCCCACAACAAACACAACUUCAUCACUUUGAAGACACACACGAUGAUGGGAGUCCUUUUCCUUCCCCGUCCAUCUCCCAGCUGACGUUUGACUCGACAGAUGAACAUCUGUCCUCCAUCCUCAAUAGCUUUGUGGACCAGGAGGUUGUUUCUAAUGCUCUCCAGCAUAGUCAGCUCCUCUUUAUUAGAAGAAUGACAGAAAAAGUGCAUGCUGGGAUCCUGCUGCAGAGUGAUACCAGUCUGUGUCAGCCUGAGGAUUUCCUGUUGUGCGAAGACAGCAGAGCAAAAACCAUCGGAAACCAGAUUUACUACACUGUGCUCAACCCCAAGUUCCCAGGAAGGGAGUUUGGUUUAAAGGUACACAAACACACUGAUGACUCUUUCUCAGCCCACCCAAAACUCCAACCAUCACAUGUCAAUGUUCAAGAUGUUAUCGCCUACUUUACUCCCAGUUGCUUGUUAAAGUAUGACACCAACACAAACAGAAGUCCAGCAUGUUCGCCUUCAAUGUCAACCUGCAGUACUACCCAACCAUCAGACGGAGGCAGUCCCCUCACAGUCCAACACCUUCUGCAGAAAGGUCACAGUGUCAGCAUUGAACGUGACCUUGCUCAUGCCACUCUGCGGGACUUUGUUGAGGAAAGGCAUUCACUGCAUGGCGCUGACCGUUUGCGUUAUGAGAGGCAGGUGUGUGUUGUGCUGCUGCAGGUGUUGAUGGGUGCUCAGCGUCUGUACAGCAGUGGGAGUGCAGCUCAGCUCAGACCACAGGAGGUCCUCCUGCUGUGGACCUAUAGGGGGAGAGAGGCUGAGGAAGCUUUCAACAGAAUCCAUCUGCACAAGUCAUGGGGGUUGCAAGGUUGUCCUCGUGUGGUGUUAGUGCUGCAGUCUGCUCUUGUUUCAGGACAAAAAGCACUGGCCACCAUUAAAUGUGAGAUCGAAGCAUUGAUUCAGUUCUGCCUGCAGCCACAGGAGAACUCUGAGGUUGUGGAUUCACCUUUUCAAUUCUACAAAAAAGGACUUCUCCACCUGUCCUCUCUGCUUCUGAAUGAGAGUGGACCAAAGAUGGCCGACAUGGUAACAAUGGUUCAGGUGCUUCUCUGGGGCCCACACACACCUGCAUUCAGCCAGACACACUCGACCUGUGCUGCGGCUCAUCACUGGCUGACUGAGAAGCGAGCGCUGCUGGUUAUGAUGCUGGCAGAGAGGGGACUGCUCCAGGACCAGGGAGGGUCCCCUCUGGAUUGGGAGGAUUGCUUGUAUCUGCAGUAUCUGUCCAGCGCAGACUCAGAAACAGUUGUGAAUGUGAGCAGUCAGCUUCAGCAUGUGCUGAACACUGAAUAA
ensembl:lncRNA inactive tyrosine-protein kinase PEAK1-like